UACGAAGGGGGCUAGCGUUGCUCGGAAUCACUGGGCGUAAAGGGUGCGUAGGCGGGUCUUUAAGUCAGGGGUGAAAUCCUGGAGCUCAACUCCAGAACUGCCUUUGAUACUGGCGAUCUUGAGUCCGGGAGAGGUGAGUGGAACUGCGAGUGUAGAGGUGAAAUUCGUAGAUAUUCGGAAGAACACCAGUGGCGAAGGCGGCUCACUGGCCCGGUACUGACGCUGAGAUACGAAAGCGU
rnacentral:rRNA from 1 species